UGGUGAUAGUGAUGGUCGUUAUGCUGUUGCUGGUGGGAAUGAUGAUGGUGAUAGUGAUGCUGUUGAUGCUUUGGUCGUCGUCAUCGUCAUUUUGAUCGUCGGACUAUUGGUGAUUAUGAUGGCGGCAGCAAUGAAGAUACUUCGACUUCAUUUUUUGAUUUGGUUUUGAAUGGUUUGGAGUAUUUAUCAAGAAGAGUAAGGAGAAAGAAGAGGAGAACGAGAGGAGAAAAAGUAAAAGCAAAGAACAAUAAGAUGGAGAACAACAGCAACAACAAAAACAACAGCAUCGACAAGCAGGGAAGUCGGAGGAGGGAGAAGAAAAAGAAUCUUUCAGAUUGGAAUCAUAUCUGACAGACUAUAUCAUCAACCAAGAUAUGCAGAAGAAGAGGGAAAAGCAAUAAAUAAUACCGAAUGAAAUGCGACGAAGGUAUUGAAGAGAGAGAAAACGGAAAAUGAUAGG